UAAUUGUUCUAAUUAAGUCUUAUAACUCAAAUUAGUUGACUAAAUAUUAAUAUACCGCUAAUAUAAAAGUGAUAUUAUAGUGUUCUGAUCGAUGACGCGCCAAUAAUUAAGAUACUACAUCACAUUUACAUCAGAGAUGCGUCAACAUUUAAUCAACUUAACUGGGAUGUGGAACUUACGGCAUUUUUGGAUCGCACUAUGAAAGACUACUAAAAAUAAAAAGACGCCCAAAAAUCUUAUUUAUACCCAACCUAUUACUAAGAAUAUAGAAUUUCGAUAUUUGGUUCACACGGUCAUAUUAUUUAGUUAUAUUAUUUAAGAUCACAAAAAAUAUACUUAAAUGUAUUUAUUUCGUUAAUUAGAAAUUUCAACAUCUUUUUAGAAAAAAUUGGAUAAAAUAUUAAUAGUUAAAUAAUAAUAAACAAAAUAUUCAGCUAAUAUAUCUUUUUCUUUUCAACAAUAAUGAAGAAUUUAAUUUUAAGCAAAUUAAGAGAGCUUAGCUUAGAGAGAGAAAAAUUUGAUGCUAAGGAAAUAGAAUGUUGAGAUAAAAAGAAAGUUUUUUAAGUUAAAGAUGUGAAAGAUAAAAAAAAGAAAGAAGAGCUUGAAGAAGAGCUUGAAGAGAGAGAUUUGACGUAGAGAUUUUAGAGAUGGAGGGAAAUAGCGCAUAGAUUAGAAAGGGAGAGUAUAAUUAAAAAAAUAGAGAGAGAUAGAAUCAAAAUUAGUGGGAGUAUGAGAGUUGAAAUUUUAGAAAUAGAAAGGGGGAGAGUGCUUAGCUUCGAGAGAGAAAAAAAGUUUAAAUUUAUAAAGAGAAAGGUAAGAUUAGAAAGAGAUAUGAGGUUAGAGAGUAAACAAAAAUAAUACUAACUAAUCAGCGGGUGGAGAGAAAGAAAAAAAAGAAGAAGAAGCUAGAUUAGAAAAAAAAGGGAUUAGAUUAGACAUAUUAUAAUUACCGCAGUUUAUUAAUAUGAGAAUACAAACCCUCAUUCAAGAGAACGGGAUUAGUACUUUAGGAUAAAUCUUAUUCCCAAAUAAAUCUAAUAUUACCGAUUAGAUUAUUUAAUAGAUUUAGCCAAAUAUAGUCAUAUUUUUUUUUUAUUUCUAUCGAAUUAUUAAAAUUAAAAAAAAAAUAGCACGAACCAAACACACCUUACUGUAAUAAUUCGAAAAAAUUUAAGUCAAAACUUUAAUAAAUUAAAGUUUAAAAAUUAAA
rnacentral:lncRNA from 1 species